rnacentral:sRNA from 1 species
GUUUCCCCACAGGGCGGUUUGGGGAGCUGUGCUGUGGCUGCUUGCAGCUCCCCGGUCGCCAGGAGCUGCCUGUAGCCGUGCACACGCUGAGGGACAGCGCCUCCGACUCACAGAGGCUCGGCUUCCUGGCCGAGGCCCUCACGCUGGGCCAGUUUGACCAUAGCCACAUCGUGCGGCUGGAGGGCGUUGUUACCCGAGGAAGCACCUUGAUGAUUGUCACCGAGUAUAUGAGCCAUGGGGCCCUGGACGGCUUCCUCAGGGUGAGUGGCCCUGGGGCUGCCAAUGACCACUUUAUUCUGUAAGGCGGGCAGGGGUCCCUCACUUUUCUCUUUGGUAGGGCUUGGAAUUGGCAUCAUCCCCACUG